CCACAACUCAGUUUGUCACAUACAGACACUCCCUAAGUGUUUGAAGACAUGAAUCAAAAAGCUGACAUAAGUUCAACUUGAGUGGCAGCACUUAGUGAGCUUCAGGGACUAGAAAACAGGCUGGAUUUGAGAUAAAAUACAGAAAAUGUACAAUGUGGUAUUACGAUCAAACCUCUUCGUGUAUCAGGAACCCUCCUGGGCUGCUCUCCAUUCCUAUUGAGCACUCAAAUAACCUGUGUGAGAGUUGACGUCUGUAUGUCUUAAGGGCAGUGGAGUGGUUUAUAUUUUUUCCAAUUGAUCCGUGUUAACUGAGAAUGGGUUUUCUGCCUGGAUUGAGGACAGUCACUGAGUGUGACGAGUAUGACUGACAGCAGCAGCCCAGAUUGCCACCACAGUUGGCUUGAUGAGUGGUACUGGGUCCGUGCCCAGGAUCCGAACCUGUGAAGCCCCGGGAUCCGAACCUGUGAACCCCAGGCCGCUGAAUUGGAGGGUGUGAACUUAACCACUACGCCACUGGGAGAACCCCCAUAAACUUUAACUAUGUGCUUUAUGCAAAAGGAUGUCUUAAAUCUUUUACCAAACAUUCAUUGAAGAGGGAAUUGUAAAAAAUUAAUUUGCCCAUGUAAUUUAAGUAAAAAAUCUGAUACAAAAUGUCGAUAUCCUCAUUAACUUUUGUCCAAAAGAAUUACAAACUGGGUGAGAACAUAAAAUCUUUUAACUCAACCAGAUAGUGGUUCAAAAGUGUACCCACCUAUUAUUCACACAACCAAGGGGAUGCAAAUGUUAGUAUUGCUAAUAUAGUACAGGGAAGAAAUAAGAAUCU